AUGCAGCCGCUUAACAGAAAGCACAGAAUGAGAAUGAGGCAGCAGAGGAGAAGCUUAAUGUGUCCCCGCGGGUCACAGGUGACUGAUUCUGCCAAGCAGGACAUGCUCUUGGAUUCACCUCAGCAUACAUCUACACUGGUAAACAACAGCCUCUAUUCAUCCAAAGAGAAAUCAGUGAAGUUACAUGGCUCAGGAAGUAAAGCGCUGGAGCAAUCAACAAAGGUAAUCGGAAAGUGCUCUGUGGCUGUAUGGUUUUAAAACAUUGCUAUUAGUCUUCAGGUCAGACCCGUGCUGAAAUACUGCAGGGUGAGUUUGAGCCCAGAUGCAGUCGGAAUGAUUUACCUCCCGUCGCUUGUGUUUCACCAGAGGUUACAGCUACUCCGCAGAGCAUGAACAACGCUCAAGCCAAGUGAAGGGAAAGAAUGACAGAGAUGGAUAACGAAGGAGCAAAAAAAGGGAAAGACUUCUCCCCACACCUGGUCUGCCCAUUUGUCCCUCAGGAUACGGACAGAUAUCCAUUCAAGCAGAGAUAUAACAAAGAAGUGAUAAACAAAUACUGAAAAAUGGCACAUGCUAAAUCCAGCGUGUCUUGAGAGCUCAAGAGUUGAGGGCAUAUUAAGUGACAAGUUACCAAGAAGUUCAAACUAAAGUUUGCAAAGGGUGAAGUUGGAAGUUUAUCUGGGAAUAAGAUGGAAGACCAGUUGGCUUUGGCGGAUAGCAUGAACUGGCUACUGCAGUGUUGAGUCUGUUACAUGUUGGAUUCCAAUCAAAGCCUCUACUUGUUCGGGCCAUUGUUAGCUGCUCUCUUAUGGCUUUGAGGGCUUUGUUGAGUUUGUUGGUGUUGUUGAGUUGAGUGAACACUCUCUCGUACAAUCCAUGGCCUCUUUGGUCUUCAUCACCGCUAACUGAUCACAGUGCUUUCUGAAGAGUGUGGAUUACCAUAUGUUUAUUGUUUAAAAUAAAAGAUGAACGUGUUCCA
ensembl:lncRNA